UUUUCAUCCCUGAGCAUGAUUUCUUAUGGAUGGAAAAUCGGAAAAGAGUUACCACUGAUUGUUGUCAAAAGUGUCUGCAUUAGCAUAAAUGAUUCCUCUCUGCAUUUGCACACAACUCCCUGACUCAGGCAUCAUCAUCCAGAAUUGAAUACUCACUUGGGAAGAAUAUUUUUCUAUAUAUACUUUUCCCAUUACAACCUAUGCAAAAGUAAACAGAGAUACAGAUAUUACUGCCUUCUUCAAUCAGAGUUGUGGAAAUAAAACCUGUCCAUUUUUUUCUUGGACAAAGGAAAAAGCCUUCAUGCUUCCCAUGAACAGGAAGUUUCAGGAUAGCAUCCUGGUGUAAGUGAAUGUAAUGAAUUAAUUCUUUACUCAUUUCUUGUGAGAGAAAGCCUCUCCAAUCAUUCACAUGUGGUUGUGUGUGUCUUUAUUCAUAUGCUUAUGUGCUUUGUUGGAUGAGAGAGGAAGGCACUGCUAUUUGAUGCUAAAGACACGGAAUUUCUUAAGAAGGGAGAAGGGGUUUCUGGGUUUCAUAUAAAAGCACUUGUUUUCAGUUUUGAACAUUUUGAUAGAAGCAUUUGUUCUUGUAUUUCCACUGCAGAGGAAACUCCUACCAGCUGAAGAUGUGGAGUGAUGUAAAGCAGGAGGAUGUAUGUUCCAGGAAACAAUUACCCUGGCUCUUUGCAGAGAAAAAAAGAAGAAAGGGAGUAAAAUCUAAAGCAUUAAUUCCACACCCCUCCACAUCUCCCCCAUCCUUCUUUCACAGAUUCAUUUCCGUGGCAGAGCUGGAGCUGAUUAAGGACCACUGGCCAGAGGGGAGCAGUGUCAGGGCCACCCAGCCUGGCACCAGGCAUCCUGCAUUCAAUGUGGCAAAAUGGAGGCACGUCUUCCUAGCAGUGAGCAGAAACCUCAGCAAAGAAGCAGUCUGGUUCUCAUGGCAACCAGGAUUUCCAUAUACUGCAGGGGUACACACAGUCUGACAUCACUUUGCUGCAGGGAGGAUUUCUGUGCAUACUCAAGGACUAAAUUAAGCCCUUUGUAAAUGAAGAAUGUGUGUCCAUUUUCCUGCAUGUAACUGUAUGGCUUUCCUCCUGUGAAAGGGAGAAGAAUAGGGAAAGAAAAGAAGAUGCAAAAUUAUAUUUCUCUAAGUCAAAAUAAAAAUAGCCCUGACACACCCA
rnacentral:lncRNA from 1 species